rnacentral:tRNA from 1 species
GGCUCGGUAGAUCAGUCGGUAGAGCAGAGGACUGAAAAUCCUCGUGUCGGCGGUUCGAUUACGUCCCGAGCCACCA